UACGGAGGGUGCGAGCGUUGUCCGGAAUCACUGGGCGUAAAGGGCGCGUAGGUGGCACGGGUAGUCGUCGGUGAAAGCUCAGGGCUCAACCCUGAGUCGGCCGGUGAUACUCCCGAGCUCGAGUGUGGUAGAGGCCAAUGGAAUUCCGGGUGUAGCGGUGGAAUGCGUAGAGAUCCGGAAGAACACCGGUGGCGAAAGCGGCGCACUGGACCACAACUGACGCUGAGGCGCGAAAGCUAGGGGAGCAAACAGG
rnacentral:rRNA from 1 species